AGAAGAGUGCAGCUCAAUUGGACACAGCUCGGACUGAGCAACCUAACCCAGUACGUACGCUACAAGAAAAUGGCGGGAAAGCUUGGCGCCAAAACCCGCGAAACUCCAUUUUUGGUGGCAAUCCCUCUAUUUAAACCCAACCCAUUUUCUGCUCGGUCCCUAAAACUCAGCUUUUGCAAAUACCCAUUUCUCAACCGUUCCUUCUCUACAGUCCUCACCAUGGCUCAGCCAGAUCUUCUUAAUCACAGCCCCGAAAUCAAAGAACCAUCGCUGAAGAUCCCAAAGCUUGGCCAAAACGGCGUCGCUGCUGAAAUCUCGAAGGACCCCAUUUCACUACUCAGAGUGAAAAAGCUUUCUGAGAAAGCUGUUUUACCUUCCAGAGGCUCUCCUCUCUCUGCUGGCUACGAUCUCUCCAGUGCAACGGAGACUAAAGUACCAGCAAGAGGAAAAGCAUUGGUUCCAACCGAUCUGAGCAUUGCAAUCCCUGAAGGAAGUUACGCUCGUGUUGCGCCAAGGUCUGGAUUGGCGUGGAAGCACUCGAUCGAUGUGGGUGCAGGUGUGAUCGAUGCUGACUACAGGGGUCCAGUUGGGGUUAUACUGUUUAACCAUUCGGAUGUUGAUUUUGAGGUGAAAGUGGGUGAUAGGAUUGCACAGUUGAUUAUUGAGAAGAUCUUGACACCUGAUGUGAUCGAGGUUGAGGAUUUGGACGCCACGGUUAGAGGCGAGGGUGGGUUCGGGUCUACUGGCGUAUGAGCGAGCUGCUUUGCUAUUAGCAACGGUGCCAUUACUCCUGCUUUCGUUUUCUUAGGGAUUAGAUUUUGGAUCAGUGACUUGUUUGAUGUUGUGGUCUGUGAGUAAUUAUGUCGAACGCAGAGCACAGAUGAACAUAAUAAAGUUGAAACAUGGGCCAUGUGCCUACAUAAUACGGUUUCUCAGUUGUGGAGCAGUAAGUGACUUAUAACUUCCUUUAUUUUUGCAAGCAUUUCAUCUCUUUUGGGUUCUUGGGAACACUUCCGAAUAUCAUGACACAUAUUUUUUGCAACACUGCAGUAGGCAUUACUGAUUAGGUAGUACUUUAUUAUGUGUUCUUUUGUUUGAGGAAAAUAUAUGCAGCUUCAUGUUUUAGAACAAGAAUGGAGUGUAAGAGAGUUCUUCUUUAUCAUGAAUCGAAAACCUCACAAGCUCUUGACAGAAUAUCAAGUAAUACUUCUUAAAAAGUAGAAUUUUAGUAUUCCAAUCAUUCAAGUCUCAAGUAAAUUAUCUGCAUUUAUUUUAAAAUGUUUACAUGAUUUUGGUGUUUACUUGAAUAAAGUGUUGUCUUAUUAAAGGUUCUUAAAGGGAGCCUCAAGCAUUGAUCAACAUUUCUAUUCAGCACCACACGAGAAAAAUACACCGGUGCUUUUAGGUUCGUUGAGCGUAUGGAAUGUUUCAUUUUUUGGGUAUCCGGCAAGAGGAAGCACUUAGCAUCUGCUCAAGACUUUAUUUUCAGCUGCCGCUUAAGCAUUUUCUUAUGAUGUCUGUU